rnacentral:rRNA from 1 species
UAUCUCUGUAGAGUCUGCAUAUCAAUAAGCGGAGGAAAAGAAACUAACAAGGAUUCCCUUAGUAACGGCGAGUGAAGCGGGAAGAGCUCAAAUUUGAAAUCUUCAAGGUUCUACCUUGACGAAUUGUAGUUUAAAGAAGUGUUUUCUGUUAGAGAGUUCGUAAAAGUUCUUUGGAAUAGGGACAUCAUAGAGGGUGAGAAUCCCGUAUUUGACCGUUAUUAUUCUAGCUGUGUGAUACACUUUCAAAGAGUCGGAUUGUUUGGGAAUGCAGUCCAAAAUGGGUGGUAAAUUUCAUCUAAAGCUAAAUAUUGGCGAGAGACCGAUAGCGAACAAGUACCGUGAGGGAGAGAUGAAAAGAACUUUGAAAAGAGAGUUAAACAGUACGUGAAAUUGUCAAAAGGGAAGCGUUUGACACCAGUGUUGUUUUUCCGAAAAUCAAUUACGAAUGGCUUGAUUUUGUGUUGUAUUGACCUUAUCAGCUUUCUUCACUUUUUUCGAGUCUUUCUUAAUGCACUUUUCGGUUAACAAGUCAACAUCAAUUUCUUUUGUUGUAAAAGAGUAUUCGGAAGGUGGCUUUCUUUUCGGAGAAAGUGUUUAUAGCCCUAUACUUCUACAAUCGGAGAGAUUGAGGUCUGCAGCGUAGAUCCUUCGGGGUUAGAUACACUUGUGCUAAGUUGUAGCUUUUCAUAGACAACUUGUUGACUAUGUUUAGUCAUGCGGCUUACUCGCUUAGUGCUAUUUUACCUACGCUUAGGAUGUUGACUGAUAUGUAGUCGU